AUACGGAGGGUGCAAGCGUUAUCCGGAAUCAUUGGGUUUAAAGGGUCCGCAGGCGGAUUAAUAAGUCGGUGGUGAAAUCCUCUCGCUCAACGAGAGAACUGCCAUUGAAACUGUUAGUCUUGAAUUCGAUCGAAGUAGGCGGAAUGUGUCAUGUAGCGGUGAAAUGCAUAGAUAUGACACAGAACACCGAUAGCGAAGGCAGCUUACUAGACCUGGAUUGACGCUCAUGGACGAAAGCGUGGGGAGCGAACAGAAUUAGAAACCCUAGUAGUCC
rnacentral:rRNA from 1 species